rnacentral:tRNA from 1 species
GGGCUCAUAGCUCAGCUGGAUAGAGCAGCGGCUUUCUAAGCCGCUUGUCGGGGGUUCGAAUCCCUCUGGGCUCACCA